rnacentral:rRNA from 1 species
CCCUUAGAUGUCCUGGGCCGCACGCGCGCUACACUGAACGGAUCAGCGCGUUUUCCCUUCCCGAGAGGGACGGGUAACCUGCUGAACCCCGUUCGUGGUAGGGAUCGGGGCUUGCAAUUAUUCCCCGUGAACCAGGAAUGCCCAGUAAGUGCAAGUCAUAAGCUUGCGUUGAUUACGUCCCUGCCCUUUGUACACACCGCCCGUCGCUACUACCGAUUGAACGUUUUGGUGAGGUACUCGGACUGAGCCUCAGAAGAUUCACGUCUUUUGUGCUGCUCGGGAAGAUUCCCAAACUUGAGCGUUUAGAGGAAGUAAAAGUCGUAACA